UACCAAAAAAGGUGAUUUUUAUAAAAGCCAGUGGACAGGAUCUGUGGGCAGAAAGGGCUGCUGCCGUGUGCUGCCCCGGGACUUUGGGGUUGGGGGACAUCAAGACAAAGCAAAGUUUCAAACGGACUUUGAUCUGCUAAACAAGACUCCCAGGACCCCGGAGGCCUGGCUACUGCCAAGCUAAGGUUGUUUUUCCUUCUGGCAAGGCACAGGUGCAGUAAAGACAAGAAAGAGUGGAAAAACCUUUGAGGGGGAAGAAGGCAGGACGAUUUUCCCAGCGCUCUCCAGCCACAAGGGUUAUGCCUGAGCACUGCUGGGCACUGUCUCAAGGAGCCACACAACAAGUCAGUGCCUGGGGACAAGCAGAAUGGCUUCUUCGGGAGCCGCUGGAAAGCCUGGGGCCAGAGCUGGCCAGAGCACUCAUUCGUCAGGAAUUCCAUCGUGGCUGCUGUUUUGAAAGAAAGACGCCAGGAGACAAGACACGUAGCAAAUCACAGCGCGACGCUGACAUGGUGUGGAACACCGGGAGACAGAGCCGAUUUUCUUGUCAAGCGCCAGUGAAAAUCAAAGAUGCUGAGGAGGGGUGGACAGAGAGGACCCAUGAACCGCCACAUACCAGCAAUACUGGACUUGAUGCGAUGUCUUCGGGGCUCAAAUCCCGACAUAUGCUGUCCUUCUGAGUCCGGAUACAAUCGAAUGCAAUCGAAUCCUUCCAUACGGAGAGGAAUAAAAACUACCCCUUCCUGGGAACUCAUCUGUGCCAGGCACAGCAGGUUUUCAAGCCCGGGUUCCCGUUAACCCUACGUGUGAGGGAGAUGUAACUGCGCCACACGACACACGGGGGAACGGACUGAAACAGAAAGGUUCAGUGACCGGCCCGAGGCAGCCCAGCUCACGGGUAAUAGAACCCAAUGUUGAAAAUUGGAUUUGCCGGAGUCCAGACCAGUAUUUUUCAUUUAUGACCCAGCCCCCUAAGACAUGAGGUUAAAACACUUUCCCUCUAAGUGGAUGGAAUUGAGACAAUUUAUGUCACUGAAAAAUUGUUUUGCAAGAUUAAAAGCCUCCCAACUGUGAGCUCCCGGCAGCUCUGACUCACUACAGGUCAAAAUCGGCAUCUGUCGAACCAACCCCCACCCCAACCCCAGUUUGUCCCGCUCUGUUUACUACCAUGAUGAGCCUCACGGGGCAGGCAUGGCCUUGGGGGACCCACACCCAGGGGGCUUUCCCCUAGCUGUUUCCUACCCUUUUCCCCCUACAUUUGUUAUGAACAUCCUGAAAUAUGCAGCAGAGCUGAGGACAUUGACAUAAAGAUGCACAGACCAUCUGGAUUCUACCUUGAAGGCUUAACUGCUCUGGCACUGUUACCCAUCGAUCCUUGGGGCCAGACCCUUGGCUCCUAGACCUGUCUUGAGAACGUAAGCCGUAUUAGUUGCAUUAUUAACUCAGCUCCACAUUCUGUUUUGGUCUCUACUUAAUUAUGUUUUAUGCACCUGUUAACCUCAUGCACGGCCAAUCAUUAACUUUGCCUUUUUACCCUUAACUCCCUGUUUGCGCACUGGUUGUAGAAACCUAAAUGGGGACCAGAAGGUGACAUUCGUCUUGAUGUAUUUGCUCAUACCAGGUCCCAAAUAGGGCCUCGUUGUCCAGAAGAGUUUCUAGAACCCCCUCCCUCAAGCUUUCAAGAGUCCCCUUACCCACCUCUUAUGUAGAUAAGCUGUCCUAGACUCAGCAAGGCAAGCAAGGCAGCUUUGGGAACAAUCCCCUGCCUUCCGGUCCGUCCAGCUGCCCUUCCAAUAAGAAAACUUUCUUUGCUUCAAAACUGGUAUCUCAGGAGCUCCUGGGUGGCUCAGGUCAUGAUCCUGGGGUCCUGGGAU